CUUUCCUCUUGCUUCCUAUCCAGAAAUCAUUUAUGAUGGCGAGAACCCUGCUGGCCAUCUUAUAUGCCCCUAAGGACGGCAUAGAAGGAGCUGACUGCUGGAAGCCAUGUGGAAUUGCCACAGAAGCCAAGGUAAGCAGAAUUACAGGCCUCCCACCGCUGUAUUAGCUUCCGCCAAAACAAAGCCCAUUUUCUGAUUUACAUUCUUUUCUGAAAAGAAUUUCUUUCUUUCUCUCCCCCCCUCCUUUUUUUUUUUGUCUUUUUG
rnacentral:lncRNA from 1 species